rnacentral:lncRNA from 1 species
CUACUCGUCCCUUAGCCUACAUUAUAACCAAAAUGGCAAAUGAAGUAGAUGCAGACCGUAUGGACAAAUGCAACAGGGGGAAAGCCAAAAUGGAUGAGGAAGGAGCUGGUAGGAAAGGCCAGCAUGAUCCAGGACCAUCAUAUAUAUGAGAAUUGUUACUUGGAACAUAAGAGGGCUGAAUUUAGCCCAUAAACAAAAGGAACUGAAAAGUUUCUUAAAUGUAAAUAAAGUAGAUGUGUUGGGG